CUCACCACCAGAGACAUUUGUCUACGAAAAGCAGCAGGGAGAAAAUUAUACAUCCUGGAGCUGGAAACCUCCCCAUAGACUCAGCAAAUGGAACAAUUCAAGACUAAGUAAAUACUGUGUCUGACUAAGGCUUAUCUAAAUGAAAAUCAGCCACUUGAAUACAAAAACCUACUCUAAUCUAAAAUUUCUGCAUGAAAAAAAUGCAAGCCAGUGAUAAAAACAACAUUUCACAACCAGGACCCCAGUGACAUGGCAUCAGCACCCCAGCACUCUGCAGAUGGCCACACAAGUUCUGGCAGCUGGGAAGUUCAUGUGUUUGGCUGGAAGACCAUACACAUGUUCAGAGGGAGGUGAAGAUGAAAGCCUGAAUGUUAAACUCGUUUCAGAAGCACAGUCCACUCUUGCUGCCCACCCUUCCCCUUUCCAC